rnacentral:rRNA from 1 species
UACGAAGGGGGCUAGCGUUGUUCGGAAUUACUGGGCGUAAAGCGUGUGUAGGCGGCUAUAAAAGUUAGAUGUGAAAGCCCCGGGCUUAACCUGGGAAUUGCAUUUAAUACUGUAUAGCUUGAGUAUGGUAGAGGAUAGUGGAAUACCCAGUGUAGAGGUGAAAUUCGUAGAUAUUGGGUAGAACACCAAUGGCGAAGGCAACUAUCUGGGCCAUUACUGACGCUGAGACACGAAAGCGUGGGGAUCAAAC